AGUUGAACGGGGUUGUAGCUGGCCUUCACGGGCAUGUGCACACCUCACUCAUCCACUCUACACCUGUGCACUUACUGGGGGUUUCGAGAGGCCGCGCUUGCGUGGUUGAUCGGGCUCACGUCUAUUACAAACUCUUCAGUAUCAGAAUGUGUAUCGCGAUGUAACGCAUCUAUAUACAACUUUCAGCAACGGAUCUCUUGGCUCUCGCAUCGAUGAAGAACGCAGCGAAAUGCGAUAAGUAAUGUGAAUUGCAGAAUUCAGUGAAUCAUCGAAUCUUUGAACGCACCUUGCGCUCCUUGGUAUUCCGAGGAGCAUGCCUGUUUGAGUGUCGUGUAAUUCUCAACCUAUAAAUCCUUGUGGUUUUUAGGCUUGGACUUGGAGGCUUUUGCUGGCUUUACCGUCGGCUCCUCUUAAACGCAUUAGCUUGAUUCCUUGCGGAUCGGCUCUCAGUGUGAUAAUUAUCUGCGCUGUGACCGUGAAGCGUUUGGCGAGCUUCUAACCGUCUCUUCGAGACAAACACUUUGACAUCUGACCUCAAAUCAGGUAGGACUACCCGCUGAACUUAAGCAUAUCAAUAAGCGGAGGAAAAGAAACUAACAAGGAUUCCCCUAGUAACUGCGAGUGAAGCGGGAAGAGCUCAAAUUUAAAAUCUGGCGGUCUUUGGCCGUCCGAGUUGUAGUCUGGAGAAGUGCUUUCCGCGCUGGACCGUGUACAAGUCUCUUGGAACAGAGCGUCAUAGAGGGUGAGAAUCCCGUCUUUGACACGGACUACCAGUGCUUUGUGAUGCGCUCUCAAAGAGUCGAGUUGUUUGGGAAUGCAGCUCAAAA
rnacentral:rRNA from 1 species